AGCACAUGGAUAAUUAGCAUCUAGUUUAGAUAAUCAUAAAACAGAAAUACAGAACCAACACACAAGAAUGUCAACAUUUCUAUCAAAAAUUGGGUGUCAGUUAACCAAAGUGCAUUCUUGAGUAAACUCUUCUUGGGGAAGUAAACUUACCAAACCUCUGAUACUCAAAGUUCCAGUAGCUUCUGCUAACAGGAAACAUGGGUAAUGUGCAGGAGGUAAUGUAGCUGCCAGGUUUUUGCCAAGCAAGAACAUUUAUGCUAUAUUUAUUUUAAUACUUUCUGUUAUACUCUCCCUGUGAGGUCCAACGGUGUUAUAAGAAUGGGUAGUGUACCAUUUAAAGUUACCCCUGAUAUGCUUUCUAAGAAGAUGGUAGGCCUUUUCAAAUCUUACACAAUCCAUGGCUUUGUUCCACUGUUAUGCGUUCAAGCUGUUGAGUCCACGCUUAGUGACAAAAAAAAGAAAAACAAGAAAAAAGCUUUUCUCAGAAGGCAGUGAUAUCAGCGAUAUAUAAUACAAGCUAUUUCAUUGCACACCUGACAAACCUACACUGGCACAAUAUGAAAUUUUCCUCAAGUUUAUCAAAUGGUUGCAGUGCUGAGUGUGCAUACAGUAACAGUUACAGUCUGCAGAAACUGCUCGAAAAUCACGAGAUACUGAAACGUAACAAGCCAAAUGAGAGAAAAUAAAGGGAAAAAAACUAAACUAUUUAAAUGACAUGUCCAUUCACCCACACAAAGAAAGAGAAUAUUGUAUAAAUGGCUUUAAAAAAAAAUAUUGUCAAUUUCCCGUUCUCGCACUAAUGGGCACCCAGCGGUGGUUCCUAUGGUAACGGCCCUAAACCAUGUGGUAGCAGAUGGAAGGAGAGCUAGAGGGCUAAAUUUAUCUUCCAGUAUCCUCACUGACUACAGAGAGAGAGUGUGUGUGUGAGAGAGCGCGAGAAGGCGGCAGGCGAGGUGCCUCCCUCCCAGAAGCUACUGUUUUUUUGAGAGGAGCACACCAAGAGAGGAAAGAAAAAAAUCAAUAGUUUGGGAGUUUUCAAUUGGUACUACACCGAUAUUCCAUUCUUUCAGGAAGAAUCAAAGCCAAAUCCAGACACCGGGAUGUGAAAGAACCACAGACCAGUUGACAAUUUCACCACAAAAAAUAAAUAAAUAAAAAAAUAAAAAAAUAUUGGUGCUUUUUCUCUAAACUAAAAAACCUACAUUCUGACUACCAGUGCUGCAUUACUGCAGACAAUUCGUCUUUAAAUAUUAUUGUCUUCAAAAAUGCAAACAGGGACAUUCAAAGCAUCCUACUAUAGAGAGGAGAACAAUUUUUAAACACUUUCUUAAUGAAAGUUAAUAGAAAUGUGAACCCCUUCGGACUUGUGUGACCCUAAAAGCAUUCUUCUGUUGUUGUGUUAUCCACUAUGUUGUCAGCUGAGCACUAGCAACGCUGUCGUGCCCAACAGUGCAGCUUCAUCAGCAGCCUGAUAACGGUGCUCUCUGGAGGGACAGGGGAGAGCCCUUAGUGGAUACACAGUGUUCCCUUUC
ensembl:lncRNA